AACGAACGCUGGCGGCAUGCCUAACACAUGCAAGUCGAACGAGACCUUCGGGUCUAGUGGCGCACGGGUGCGUAACGCGUGGGAACCUGCCCUUGGGUUCGGAAUAACUCCCCGAAAGGGGUGCUAAUACCGGAUAAUGUCUUCGGACCCAAGAUUUAUCGCCUUUGGAUGGGCCCGCGUUGGUUUAGCUAGUUGGUAGGGUAAAAGCCUACCACGGCGACGAUCCAUAGCUGGUCUGAGAGGAUGAUCAGCCACACUGAGACUGAGACACGGCCCAGACUCCUACGGGAGGCAGCAGUGGGGAAUAUUGGACAAUGGGCGAAAGCCUGAUCCAGCAAGGCCGCGUGAGUGAUGAAGGCCUUAGGGUUGUAAAGCUCGUUUACCCGGGAUGAUAAUGACAGUACCGGGAGAAUAAGCUCCGGCUAACUCCGUG
rnacentral:rRNA from 1 species